GUGGGGAAUCUUGCGCAAUGGGCGAAAGCCUGACGCAGCCAUGCCGCGUGAAUGAUGAAGGUCUUAGGAUUGUAAAAUUCUUUCACCGGGGACGAUAAUGACGGUACCCGGAGAAGAAGCCCCGGCUAACUUCGUGCCAGCAGCCGCGGUAAUACGAAGGGGGCUAGCGUUGCUCGGAAUUACUGGGCGUAAAGGGCGCGUAGGCGGACAGUUUAGUCAGAGGUGAAAGCCCAGGGAUCAACCUUGGAAUUGCCUUUGAUACUGGCUGUCUUGAGUACGGGAGAGGUGAGUGGAACUCCGAGUGUAGAGGUGAAAUUCGUAGAUAUUCGGAAGAACACCAGUGGCGAAGGCGACUCACUGGCCCGUUACUGACGCUGAGGCGCGAAAGCGUGGGGAGCAAACAGGAUUAGAAACCCUAGUAGUCC
rnacentral:rRNA from 1 species